GCACCGGCGGGUGAAAACCCUAGCGCGCCGCCUCACAGUCCCGAACAUCCAUCCUCGUCACCUUUGUCCUCAGCUUCCAGUCUGCAAGUGGAAGAUGAGGCGGAGACCAAGAAGUAGAACCCGACUGCAGGAUAAAGAGGAGACAAAAAGUGACUUUGAAGCUAAUCAAUUUCAGCCAGAAGGAACUCAAAAAUAGUGUUGGCAGGGGAUAUUACCAUAAUGCAAAAAUAUGCUGCAAGUCAAUUCAGGUUUUCCAGGUCAUUUAUAAUUUACAAACCACAUUCCGGUAGUAUUAAAUAUGGCAGAAGACAUAGCAUGAGAAGACCUUUAUCUGAAGAAAAAGAUGAAAACCGAUGGGCAUGGCCAACAUUUUCCUACGAAGAAAACAAAUAAGGUUGCGGUGCAAGGUGCAGAGGUCCCCUGCAGCGUGUGGAGGUGGUUGGCCUUGGCCAGGUCAAGUUGUCGAUGCCGGUGACCUCUCUAUAUCCACUCCGUAGAGUUGGUGUUCCUCAUUCCCUUAUCUGAAAAUUCAUUAGAAUAAGGCCACUUGCGCAUCCAGGUAAACCUCCUGGUUCACAUUUUGUCUCUUUACACUUUCUUGACGCAGUUUACUGCUAUUUCUAUACCUAUACGGAAAAUUUGUUAUAACUGAUUUGUUUCAGUGGUUUGCUAAAUAGCGUGACAAAACAGAGACAUAUGGACAUUUUCCCAUAAUGUACUUGAUAUUUCAAUCCACCUAGGACUACUGUAUGUCAUGAGCCUGUAAAUAUCCUCGCAAGGUCUACUUUGCUUAUGGUGCUUAUAAAAUCUAAAAAGUAAUAUGUUAAAUACCAUAGGAAAACUGAAAUUCCUCCUAGAGAUAACAUCAUCCAACUAUUUUAUUUUAGCAAUUGAUACUGAUUUUGAACUCUGAAUUUGAAAUCUACAUGUUUACAUGUAUGCCCACAUGGCCUUUUGUAGUCUGGCCUGUCUACUGGUUCACGUUGUCCUCAAAGAGGGUUUGCCUUCCAAGCCGACUUCAGUUGUGAGAAAAUGGCAGCUUAUCUGGAGUUAACAGGGUGACAGUUGUGUUUAAUGUACAUACCCUGUUUUUUUUUUCCUCGCUUCCAUAUGUCAACUAAUAGUUUUCAUACUUAUGCGCUCAUAUUAAGUGGACCACUCUUUAUGCUUUUAACAUGAUUGGUAGCUCUGGACACUGAUGUGUACUGUUUACCACUGUUCUCCUUUUCUUUAUAGUUUUAUGAAGGAUUGUCAAGCUAAAAAUAAAGGAUGGAGGCCAUGGAUAUCUCUACUAAAAGUAUUGCAUGGCGCCAUGACAUCUUCCUCUUCUCGUAUGGCGCCUGCAGAUGGCGUAACCUUCAGGUGAGAUCCUCCUCCACUUGAAGUGUUUGCUAUUUUUUCAUGAAAACAUUCACAUUUCGAGUAGUUUUUCAUCCCUUUUAUUAUAAAUCACGGAGAUGGAGAUACAUAUUAGGGAGUAAAUUUGUUAAUAUACUUCUGAAGGUUGCAGCAUGCACAAAAGAAUUUGGUGGUAAGCUUCCAUAGUUUUUUUUAUAGAAGAACAAUAUUUAGUUAUAUCAUCCUACUGGCAUAAUGAUAUGUUGUCUGUGUUGAUGGAAUUGACCAUCAAGCUGGAGAGGCUCUUUAACCAGCAAUACAUAUAUCGCCUGACACCAUGGGGUAUGUCUAUUUUUAUUCCUGAUUUAUUUGUGGUUGCAGCAAGGCAGAUUAUGUCUUCCUGGUCUACCUAUUAAUCUUUGCCUACUACCACUGUUGUGGAUUGGAAGUCCAUUUUUCUUACACUGAAGCCUAAUUGUGUGAGAUUUAAGAGAUUGAUUAAUGACAUAUGAUGUGCACUUUUGUAGCUGUGAGGGAGGAUUGAAGUGAAGUUACAUCAUUAAACUUGCAAUGCUUCUAAAUAUCUGCGAAUUAUCACCCUUUAUUGGUUGCUUUUCUUGAUGAAUAGCUUCAACGAUGACAAUUUGAGUUAUAAAUGACAAGUCAGUGCUUAAUUUUGAAAACCGUAAUUUCUUACUUACCUUCUUGAUCAUUACAGGGCACCUGCAAGCAAGCUCCACCAGAAUCUCUGUUUCCAUUACAGUUGUAGGCGAAGUCUAAAAUAGCUCCGAGGCAUUCUGCUCUAUUUGAGUAUUGCAAAGCACUCCAAGAGGUCUUUGUUUUCUUUGCUGGAGUUAUUCUUUGCUAAAUUUAGCAAAUAUGUAUCAUUUAAAAUAAAUUUAGGAUGAUUGGAAUGCAAAAGUGGUUCUUCUGGCUAUAGUUCCUACUUGUGCUGGUAUGGAGUUCAGUUCACCAUUAUUUUGUUCAUUUGAAUGACCACAGAGUGUACUAUUUUACCAUCUCUGAUAAAUCAAAAUAGUCUCUAUAAUUCUCCUAUAUGUUUUUCCCAUUUCGGCUGUCAGGUUGCAGGCUUGCAGCUUAUUUUUUGUUACUUCGUCAUCGUAAUUGGAGAGGUUUCCUGUGUAGCUCAUUGAGGGUUGGGACUGUAUUUUUGCCUAAAACAAGAUAUCCCAUGCCUUUUUUCAUUAAUGUUUCUAUGGUUUGGGAAAGUUCAGUCUUUGGCUUUGGCUUUGGCUUUACCUUGCAUGCCACAUUGAAUCUCUAUUUUCUCUAUAUCUCAUUAUCGUCAAUCGAUUUCUUAUCAUUAAUUUCUGAUGUGUACAGUUGGUUUAAUCUCGGUGAUGAAAAAUAAAAAAGAACUACCUUUUGCAAUACAUGCAUGUUUGCUAGAAAGGGGUCAAAGCUACAUACAAGACUGUUUACCCCCGCGGGAGACCGAAUAUCUUAGAAACAACAUCCUAAAAAUUUGGCGCCCAUGUUGUACCAACAACCGGUAGAAGCUUUCCCUGGCAGGGCAUGUACGUAGCUGAGACCCUGUGUGCUUUACUCAGGUUACCCCAAGUUGUGAACCAAAGGAAGACGAUAUAGGGUUAUUUCUUGGUCCUUUGUGGGCAUGAUUUAGUUUAGUUUUUGUGGUACAUGCUUGGGACUUGGACAACAAAUCUGGAGCUAAUAGUUUACCCAAGCUACUUCAUUAACGCCUUUUCUUUUGUUAGAUUCAGAUUUACUAUAUGAUUUAUGUAAGUGUGCUGUCAUGUUGCAGGUUUGCAAAGAGGAAUUUAGAUGAGUAUGUAUUUCUUGGCAAUCAGCUGCAGGUGUAUAUGCACCUUAGUUUGAGAGAUUUUUGGAUACCAAGAAGAAACUGAAGGUCGGGAGAAAUGAAGUCCUCAACUAAAUAAGAUCACCGCCUCCGCCCCGUGCGGCGUUGUCGUCCCCAUCAAGCCGCACCAGAGGGAGAUGCUUAGCUGUGGCCACACAAACGGAUGGGGACGUCAAGCCAAGCUGGUGGCUGGCGGCCUACCAUCGCGUCAACUUACACAGGAUAGGAGAGCCCUCGAAAAAAAAAACACAGGAUAGGAGCAGAGGAAUCUUGAGCGCGGUGUCCAGACCUGGAGUGGAGGACAUGGGUCGCCAUGAAGCAAUUGCCCCUUCGUUGUGAAGUUACAGGUGUGUAUAGAAGCUUUUUGUGUAAAUGCCUACGAGCAAAGACCGCUCCUGGAAGAAUGCUCACAACUCAGCUUGAAUUUGUAAGUUAAUUGUCCUCUCAGAUGCACCCCUCUUGAUGCUUUAUAUGUUUCAACAUGGAUUCUUGGUUCCUAUAAAUUUACAGGUUAUGAUGUUGUGAUGAACUUGCAGCAAUGAAGUGAUUUGGGUAACAUCUUGCUUUUUAAAAUGACUUUCAUUUACUUCUGUGGCAUUGAAGGAGCGACGCAAUUCCUCCCAACUACAGAAUUUGCAGCGGCUGAAGAUGCUAGAAGUACAGGUUAUAUUGUCUUAUGAAUUGUCUAAGGAAGUCUUAAAUUAUUUAUCUGUUGCUUGACCAAUGGUUUGUCGAACUGAAACAGUAUGGCCAUGUGCCCAUGUUAUUUCUUUGUUUGCCAAAAUAAAUUUAACUUCCGAUCACAAAAUAAAAGAAUGUCCACGGAUAUCUCUUCGCAUUGGUUUAAUUCUGUAUCCUGAAAUAACUACUGACAAUGACUAUUGAUAAAGCUGUUAUGAACACCCUCUUAGUUACAAUCAUAUUUUGUGAAACUGCUUUUACACCAACUUACCUAGAACUGGUAAUGAGUAUAUAUUCUUAACGCUUAAUGCAAUGCAGAUUUGUAGGGUAUCAAAAAAGAAAGGUAUUGUUAGUUGUAUUCUGUUUGUAGUAAUGUGGUAGUGCCCGGAAUUAGAUGUACCAUAUUCUCAUUAGCUUUGCCCUAAAUAAGAACUAUUAGAAAGGUUUGGGUGUUACUUCAGUUACAAUUUACACUGUCUUCCUUUAUUAAAUAGGUAUCUUAUGUCUUGCACUAUUAUUCCUUUCUUCAGAGAUAAAAUGCUUCAUGUGAUGAGUGGUGUAAUUAAAUUGAAGAGAAACAUGAAGAAGUUUGAUGGCACCCAUUCUUAGGUUGAAAAUUGAAUGUCCGAUCCAUUAUUUGCUCUUUUUUUUUGCUUUAUCACUUUAUUAUGUAGUUCCUGAUUUUGGAAGAUGUAUUAUCUGGUCAUCGCUUGCAUUUGACUACAUUUGUGCGAUUUGUAAUGUAAUUCAUCCAGUAUACGGGUUAUACAUUUGGUAGCAAAUUUGAAUUUUCUCGGAUAUACAUAUAUUUGAUUUAUUCAUUUGGUUUA